CUCAUGCUUUAAAAGUGCUGGAGUUAGAGCUGUAUUUUUUUAGAAGGUUUUAGUCCAGGUUGCAGUAUCUUAUUUGCUUCCUACUUCCCAGAAGUGCUCCUCAGUGAUAUGGUAGCAAAUACAAGACAAAUGAGUAAUAAAUCUUUACAUAAGGUGUUCUGGUCCCAUCUCCAUCAAUAGGGCUCAGACUGGAGUAGAAAAUGGAACAAGAGGAGGGAAAGGUAUUGAGUCAGCUUUACCAUCGCGACGAUGGCAACGCCACCGAUCAUCAUGCAGGUGGGCCAGAAGAGGGAGUGAAACAGUACAUUAGAGCUGUAUAGUUUGGUCAAUAUUACAUUCUUCUGAGAGCCUUCGGGGUCAUAGAAGCAGGAGAAGCGUUGGUACUUUCGGAAGUUUUCCAUCACAACGUUCACCAGCGACAGGGAUUCUUCAUAAUUCUUGCCACACUUGGGUAUAUACGAACACUGGGAAGAAAUCAGAGGGAGUAAAAUGCAUCUUCAAACCAGAUACUAUGUCUGUUUUCAGGUGACGAACAGGAGAAUUCAGAGAUGAUUAUGCUUCUCAAAAGAAACACAAUGCUAUUAAGUCAGUAAUACAUUUAUCCCAGACAAAACUCACUGUUAUGUACAUCUAAGGAAUUGCCCAUUGGAGUUCCUCCAAGUGCUGUACAAACAUUAGUGCUUUAAUCUGCACAGCGGCCUCAUGGAUAGGUGAAUAUAUUAUUAUUGCUAAUUUACACAUGCAGAAAUGGAACUGAUGAAGCACCUCUUCAUCUUAAGUGGUGUGUGUAUUCUUGCAGUGAGAUGGGUAAUUGGCUCGCUGUAAAUACAAAUCUGGUAGAUUGGACCUCACUUGCAUUGGAUCAACAUGAUCUUAGGCACAGGAGUUCUCUCACAGAGGGAAAGGCCCCAAAGAGACCUUAAUACAAAUCUUCCCUUAGGGGCAAUGACUCAGUUAAGAACAAAUGGAAAGUCUAAGAGAAAACGGAUUUUCUUCGGGAUGUGGCAGAAGGCUUCCCUUCAGCCUCUUGCUGGAGACCAGCCUGGCUGCUGGGGAGGCCCUUGGGCUGUUGCUUAACUUGCUCAUGGGUCCUGCCAUGCUCCCCUGCUGCACUGCUGGUCUCACUUGUAUGGGGUGAUAAUUAAACUUUGAUAAUUUAAUGUGAAAGAGUAAAUUUUUUUGAAUGGAAAAGACAUCUUGAUUAAACUAAUGUGACCCGUGGGUUUUUAUUGUUUUAAUGUAUAAACUUUACAAAUGUCCCUCAGUUCUUUUUCAUAACUGUGCUGUGACUUUUCAUAACAUACUGAGACAAAUCUCUAGUCCUAAUAAUGAUCAAAAGAUUAAGCUCAUAACAGGAUUUGAUUGAUUCAUUGGCAGGUUUAUUAGCCCAGAAUAUGAUUUGAAGCACGGCAGGAAGAUUGUCUGGCGUUAGCAGACUGGAGCAUUAAUGGUAGAGCAUGUCAGCCUGCCAUUAUGAAUAUUUCAUAGAGCUCUAGAAAUUAGAGACGGAAAAUAUCAGAGCAGUAAUAUCUCAUCCAUCUUCCCAGUGGAUGCAGGACUGCUCCCCCCUGGAUAUUGUCUCGCACUCUGUUCAGAUUUGUCUUAAAUUUCCAAAGCCACAAGCCCUCUUCCACUGCCUAUGACUCUUCAGUACAUCAGAAUCUAAUAAGUAGGGGAAAUUUUUCAGUGAAGCUGUGCCUCAUUUUCUUUUACUGAAUUAUAUGCUGUCACUGUCUUAGCAGUAUUUCCAGCUCUGAUAUUUAGGUGGUGGGUGUUUGUUGUUGUUUUGUUUGGUUUUUCAAAUUUGGUGCUAGAUAUUUUUGUUUCUUGAAGUCCCAACUUUUACUGUCCUGAGGGAAGAGAUUGAGUGAGGACUUGGCCACUUUUUCCAAGCUCUUUCCUCAGAAAACAGCAGCCACGUAAAAGCCCAAACAACGACAGAUUCCUGGACUCCAAGUCUGCAGAAACACCUCAGGAGUGCAGUGGGGAGGUUCUGCAAGUCCUGGCUUCCUGCAAGGUGGACUAUUUUCCAGACACUUUUGUAGGAGACCUGAUGCAGCAGCAGAACUUGAGCUGCUGCCUCUGAUGUCUGAUGGCCCCGAGCCACCAGCCGUGUUGGGCUGGCUGGGCUGAUUGUGCCAAGAGGGUUUGAAAAUACGAAGCCAUGGAAGUCAGUUGUGCAAGGGAGGUUGAUGUGUUUUGUCUCUCAGCCCAGGCUCCUUGUGCCAAAAUCAUCUCUCCCUGUGCUACAGCCUCCCGUGUGCUCUCCGAGAUACAGUGCCCUUCACUCCACGUGCUAGUGGCCUUGUCCCAGUUCCCCUGAGCAUUGUGUAGGUGGCUGGCAGGCAAGAAGGCAGACACUGAUAAUGGGAUGCUUGGAGUGUUUCCUUUGUUUUGAUCACCAUUUAGUUUUCUCCAAUGCCUGGCAGGGAGUUUUGUGUCUAUCACUUACUCUGUAUCUGUGAAUGUAGCCUGCUAACUCUAUGCUGUUUUAUUACACUUCUGCAUUGUUGAACACCUGGGAACCUGCAAACAUGGAAGUAAACUUUGUGUCUCUGCCUCCAGUAAGGAUUCUGUGACACAACAUGAGAAAAGUGGCUCUUGUGUUACUUGCAAUCUGAUCACAAGAAGCAUGCCCUAGGUAGAUAUAAAGAAAACUUAUAUUUCCAGCCCUACUUUUCUAAUUUAAAGGAUCAGUCAGUCAGUACAGGCUGUCUACAUGGGGGCAUGUCCAGUCCAAAGCUCUGCUCAAUGAAGAGCUGCUCAGGGACUUAUCCAGUCACAUGUGAGUAUCUCCAGGGAUGGACACCACACAAAUCUCUGGGCAAGCUGGAGGUGGUGUUGUUUAAGUCAAUGAAGUUGACUUCUGCAGCAGGAGGCACCGUUUCUCCCCAGAUUUUGGCUCUCGAGCAGGUGCGGCUACUGCCAACAGCCUAGUUGGUAUCACACGUAUGGAGCACUGCUGAGAUGGGCUGUGCUGGUCUGAAACCUGGAGGCUCUGCUGAUCCCAGCCAGGCACAACAAGCCAGGUAGUUUACAGCUGUUGAGAACUCGUAUUCAAAACUGCAUUUGGAUUCAGGUCACAUAAUCAGCAGCAGCAUAUCAGGAAAAGCUGGGAAUCCUCCUGAGAGCAGAGCUUAACCUGUAAAACAACCUUGGGCUGGAGGAGUAUUAACUGUGCCUACAUUAAAUUAGGAAGAGGAGGUGGCUGGGGGAAUUUCAAAGUCUGUUUUCAGCAAAUAAAAAUCAUCAAUAACAGAAAGUGAAGAUUUAUGCUGAACUUGCUGAUUUAUUUGAAUCCAGUGGAGCACAGAGACUGAUCUGAUCUAUUUUAACCAAAUCACAGCAUGAGCAUCACUGGAUUUUACUUCUGCCCCAGCAGAAAUUUGGGUCUGUCCUGGCUUGCAAGUGCCAUGGAAUGAGCUAAGUGUGCCUCAUUUCUGCACUGACACCAAACUGGGCUGGGGAGCACUGCUGCAUUUCACAAUUCAGAUCCGGAGGACUUCAUCUCUCAGCCACAGGAGCUAAUUAUCCAGCAGAACAACCGGCCCCGUGCAACCACUCUGUGCUUUGACUCAUUUUAAUAUCACUUCAUCUUAAUAUGCAGAAGUAAUUUGGUCUACCGAACUGCUGCCAUAAAUAGAAACACAAUAGGUUACGUUGUCAGCAGCCUGACAAUGGGGCUCAGCCUUUGUGGGCUGCGGUUUGCCGAGCGCCUGUAGUUUGGGGUUCGGUGACCUUGGGUAGCAAAGCAGUCAGUGCAGCUCUGGCACUUGCA